GAUGGGGAGAAGACAUUGUGUCUUCGAGUCGUUGAUUUCACACUGCCGAGAAAAGCCUCUAGAUAGAAAAUAGGUGCCCGUACCGCAAACCGACACAGGUAGUCAAGAUGAGAAUUCUAAGGUGAGCGAGCGAACUCUCGUUAAGGAACUCGGCAAAAUGACCCCGUAACUUCGGGAGAAGGGGUGCUCUUUAGGGUUAACGCCCAGAAGAGCCGCAGUGAAUAGGCCCAAGCGACUGUUUAUCAAAAACACAGGUCUCUGCUAAACCGUAAGGUGAUGUAUAGGGGCUGACGCCUGCCCGGUGCUGGAAGGUUAAGAGGAGUGGUUAGCUUCUGCGAAGCUACGAAUCGAAGCCCCAGUAAACGGCGGCCGUAACUAUAACGGUCCUAAGGUAGCGAAAUUCCUUGUCGGGUAAGUUCCGACCCGCACGAAAGGCGUAACGAUUUGGGCACUGUCUCAACGAGAGACUCGGUGAAAUCAUAGUACCUGUGAAGAUGCAGGUUACCCGCGACAGGACGGAAAGACCCCGUGGAGCUUUACUGUAGCCUGAUAUUGAAAUUCGGCACAGCUUGUACAGGAUAGGUAGGAGCCUUUGAAACGUGAGCGCUAGCUUACGUGGAGGCGCUGGUGGG
rnacentral:rRNA from 1 species